AUUCGACUUAGUUAGGAGGCAGAAAUUAAAAGAAAUCUAAUGUUUAUUAGUUUUUCACUCAUAGAUAGGCAUAUUGAAGAUUCAAUUCUGUUCUUCAUAUCAGUUUUUCUUCAAACAGCCUUUCAUAUUU